UGCAGUCGAGCGGACAGAUGGGAGCUUGCUCCCUGAUGUUAGCGGCGGACGGGUGAGUAACACGUGGGUAACCUGCCUGUAAGACUGGGAUAACUCCGGGAAACCGGGGCUAAUACCGGAUGGUUGUUUGAACCGCAUGGUUCAGACAUAAAAGGUGGCUUCGGCUACCACUUACAGAUGGACCCGCGGCGCAUUAGCUAGUUGGUGAGGUAACGGCUCACCAAGGCGACGAUGCGUAGCCGACCUGAGAGGGUGAUCGGCCACACUGGGACUGAGACACGGCCCAGACUCCUACGGGAGGCAGCAGUAGGGAAUCUUCCGCAAUGGACGAAAGUCUGACGGAGCAACGCCGCGUGAGUGAUGAAGGUUUUCGGAUCGUAAAGCUCUGUUGUUAGGGAAGAACAAGUGCCGUUCAAAUAGGGCGGCACCUUGACGGUACCUAACCAGAAAGCCACGGCUAACUACGUGCCAGCAGCCGCGGUAAUACGUAGGUGGCAAGCGUUGUCCGGAAUUAUUGGGCGUAAAGGGCUCGCAGGCGGUUUCUUAAGUCUGAUGUGAAAGCCCCCGGCUCAACCGGGGAGGGUCAUUGGAAACUGGGGAACUUGAGUGCAGAAGAGGAGAGUGGAAUUCCACGUGUAGCGGUGAAAUGCGUAGAGAUGUGGAGGAACACCAGUGGCGAAGGCGACUCUCUGGUCUGUAACUGACGCUGAGGAGCGAAAGCGUGGGGAGCGAACAGGAUUAGAUACCCUGGUAGUCCACGCCGUAAACGAUGAGUGCUAAGUGUUAGGGGGUUUCCGCCCCUUAGUGCUGCAGCUAACGCAUUAAGCACUCCGCCUGGGGAGUACGGUCGCAAGACUGAAACUCAAAGGAAUUGACGGGGGCCCGCACAAGCGGUGGAGCAUGUGGUUUAAUU
rnacentral:rRNA from 1 species